rnacentral:rRNA from 1 species
ACGAAAAAUAACGAUACGGGACUCAUCCGAGGCCCCGUAAUCGGAAUGAGUACACUCUAAACCCUUUAACGAGGAUCAAUUGGAGGGCAAGUCUGGUGCCAGCAGCCGCGGUAAUUCCAGCUCCAAUAGCGUAUAUUAAAGUUGUUGCGGUUAAAAAGCUCGUAGUCGAAUUUGUGUCCCGCGCCGCCGGUUCAUCGCUCGCGGUGUCAACUGGCGUGUCCGCGGGACGUCCUGCCGGUGGGCUUAGCUCCCCGCGGGCGGCCCAAUCUCAAUCCCACCGCGGUGCUCUUCAUUGAGUGUCGAGGCGGGCCGGCACGUUUACUUUGAACAAAUUAGAGUGCUUAAAGCAGGCUAAAACAUCGCCUGAAUACUGUGUGCAUGGAAUAAUGGAAUAGGACCUCGGUUCUAUUUUGUUGGUUUUCGGAACCCCGAGGUAAUGAUUAAUAGGAACGGAUGGGGGCAUUCGUAUUGCGACGUUAGAGGUGAAAUUCUUGGAUCGUCGCAAGACGGACAGAAGCGAAAGCAUUUGCCAAAAACGCUUUCAUUGAUCAAGAACGAAAGUUAGAGGUUCGAAGGCGAUCAGAUACCGCCCUAGUUCUAACCAUAAACGAUGCCAGCUAGCGAUCCGCCGACGUUCCUCCGAUGACUCGGCGGGCAGCUUCCGGGAAACCAAAGCUUUUGGGAUCCGGGGGAAGUAUGGUUGCAAAGCUGAAACUUAAAGGAAUUGACGGAAGGGCACCACCAGGAGUGGAGCCUGCGGCUUAAUUUGACUCAACACGGGAAACCUCACCAGGCCCGGACACCGGAAGGAUUGACAGAUUGAGAGC